rnacentral:rRNA from 1 species
GAUGAACGCUGGCGGCGUGCCUAAUACAUGCAAGUCGAGCGAACGGACGAGAAGCUUGCUUAUCUGAUGUUAGCGGCGGACGGGUGAGUAACACGUGGAUAACCUACCUAUAAGACUGGGAUAACUUCGGGAAACCGGAGCUAAUACCGGAUAAUAUUUUGAACCGCAUGGUUCAAAAGUGAAAGACGGUCUUGCUGUCACUUAUAGAUGGGUCCGCGCUGCAUUAGCUAGUUGGUAAGGUAACGGCUUACCAAGGCAACGAUGCAUAGCCGACCUGAGAGGGUGAUCGGCCACACUGGAACUGAGACACGGUCCAGACUCCUACGGGAGGCAGCAGUAGGGAAUCUUCCGCAAUGGGCGAAAGCCUGACGGAGCAACGCCGCGUGAGUGAUGAAGGUCUUCGGAUCGUAAAACUCUGUUAUUAGGGAAGAACAUAUGUGUAAGUAACUGUGCACAUCUUGACGGUACCUAAUCAGAAAGCCACGGCUAACUACGUG